rnacentral:rRNA from 1 species
GAUGAACGCUGGCGGCGUGUCUAAUACAUGCAAGUCGAGCGAACAGACGAGGAGCUUGCUCCUCUGACGUUAGCGGCGGACGGGUGAGUAACACGUGGAUAACCUACCUAUAAGACUGGGAUAACUUCGGGAAACCGGAGCUAAUACCGGAUAAUAUAUUGAACCGCAUGGUUCAAUAGUGAAAGACGGUUUUGCUGUCACUUAUAGAUGGAUCCGCGCCGCAUUAGCUAGUUGGUAAGGUAACGGCUUACCAAGGCAACGAUGCGUAGCCGACCUGAGAGGGUGAUCGGCCACACUGGAACUGAGACACGGUCCAGACUCCUACGGGAGGCAGCAGUAGGGAAUCUUCCGCAAUGGGCGAAAGCCUGACGGAGCAACGCCGUGUGAGUGAUGAAGGUCUUCGGAUCGUAAAACUCUGUUAUUAGGGAAGAACAAAUGUGUAAGUAACUAUGCACGUCUUGACGGUACCUAAUCAGAAAGCCACGGCUAACUACGUG